rnacentral:rRNA from 1 species
AGUGAACGCUGGCGGUAGGCCUAACACAUGCAAGUCGAACGGCAGCACAGUAAGAGCUUGCUCUUACGGGUGGCGAGUGGCGGACGGGUGAGGAAUACAUCGGAAUCUACUUUUUCGUGGGGGAUAACGUAGGGAAACUUACGCUAAUACCGCAUACGGCCUACGGGUGAAAGCAGGGGAUCUUCGGACCUUGCGCGAUUGAAUGAGCCGAUGUCGGAUUAGCUAGUUGGCGGGGUAAAGGCCCACCAAGGCGACGAUCCGUAGCUGGUCUGAGAGGAUGAUCAGCCACACUGGAACUGAGACACGGUCCAGACUCCUACGGGAGGCAGCAGUGGGGAAUAUUGGACAAUGGGCGCAAGCCUGAUCCAGCCAUACCGCGUGGGUGAAGAAGGCCUUCGGGUUGUAAAGCCCUUUUGUUGGAAAAGAAAAGCAGCAGGUUAAUACCCCGCUGUUCUGACGGUACCCAAAGAAUAAGCACCGGCUAACUUCGUG